AUUGAACGCUGGCGGCAGGCCUAACACAUGCAAGUCGAACGGUAGCACAGAGAGCUUGCUCUCGGGUGACGAGUGGCGGACGGGUGAGUAACGUCUGGGAAACUGCCCGAUGGAGGGGGAUAACUACUGGAAACGGUAGCUAAUACCGCAUAACGUCGCAAGACCAAAGUGGGGGACCUUCGGGCCUCACACCAUCGGAUGUGCCCAGAUGGGAUUAGCUAGUAGGUGGGGUAAUGGCUCACCUAGGCGACGAUCCCUAGCUGGUCUGAGAGGAUGACCAGCCACACUGGAACUGAGACACGGUCCAGACUCCUACGGGAGGCAGCAGUGGGGAAUAUUGCACAAUGGGCGCAAGCCUGAUGCAGCCAUGCCGCGUGUAUGAAGAGGGCCUUCGGGUUGUAAAGUACUUUCAGCGGGGAGGAAGGCGGUGAAGUUAAUAACUUCACCGAUUGACGUUACCCGCAGAAGAAGCACUGGCUAACUCCGUGCCAGCAGCCGCCGUAA
rnacentral:rRNA from 1 species